CAGUAACACGUGGAUAAUCUGCCCUUAGGUGGAGGAUAAUCUCGGGAAACUGAGGAUAAUACUCCAUAGAUCUAGGAUGCUGGAAUGCACUUAGAUUAAAAGUCCCGACGCCUAAGGAUGAGUCUGCGGACUAUCAGGUAGUAGUCAGGGUAAAGACCUGACUAGCCUACGACGGAUACGGGUUGUGAGAGCAAUAACCCGGAGACGAUAUCUGAGACACGAUAUCGGGCCCUACGGGGCGCAGCAGGCGCGAAAACUUCACACUGUGCGGAAGCACGAUGAGGGAAUCCCAAGUGCUUGCUCGUAAGAGUAAGCUGUUUUUAUGUUUAAAAAGCAUAGAGAGUAAGGGCUGGGUAAGACGGGUGCCAGCCGCCGCGGUAAUACCUGCAGCUCAAGUGGUGACCACUAUUAUUGGGCCUAAAACGUUCGUAGCCGGUUUAUU
rnacentral:rRNA from 1 species